rnacentral:rRNA from 1 species
GAUGAACGCUGGCGGCGUGCCUAAUACAUGCAAGUCGAGCGAACGGACGAGAAGCUUGCUUCUCUGAUGUUAGCGGCGGACGGGUGAGUAACACGUGGAUAACCUACCUAUAAGACUGGGAUAACUUCGGGAAACCGGAGCUAAUACCGGAUAAUAUUUUGAACCGCAUGGUUCAAAAGUGAAAGACGGUCUUGCUGUCACUUAUAGAUGGAUCCGCGCUGCAUUAGCUAGUUGGUAAGGUAACGGCUUACCAAGGCAACGAUGCAUAGCCGACCUGAGAGGGUGAUCGGCCACACUGGAACUGAGACACGGUCCAGACUCCGACGGGAGGCAGCAGUAGGGAAUCUUCCGCAAUGGGCGAAAGCCUGACGGAGCAACGCCGCGUGAGUGAUGAAGGUCUUCGGAUCGUAAAACUCUGUUAUUAGGGAAGAACAUAUGUGUAAGUAACUGUGCACAUCUUGACGGUACCUAAGCAGAAAGCCACGGCUAACUACGU